CACUUUCCUCUGCAGAGAGAAAACAGGAAAAGGACCUGAAGAGACGUCUAUGCAAACGCUCUCAUUGUGAAAGAUAAGUAUACAUCCAUCUAAUCUGUGACUCGGUCACAACUCUGAUCAGCAGUUCUUUCAGGUUUGUCUGUUUUGAUGAUGUUAUUAAUUGUUAUUAUCCUUUAUCCAGUUAACUUUCAGAGAGGAGCGGAGGGAGGAGCGAAGCCAGUGUGCUCUGUAAACUCUCAUUAAAAAAAAGAUAAGUAUAUUUGAUUUUCUAUAAUUAUGACAGCUCCUCCUCAGUGAACACUUCCUCUAGUUGCUGAAAUCAUUUAUUAAUUUUUUUCUUCCCAUUUGUCUUUUGUUUUUCAGGGAAAACAGAGAGGAGACAAGGUGACAUUAAGACCUAAGACAGGACGGAUUGAACCUUUUUCCAGAGUAGAUGAGAAGAGUGAACGUCAGCAAGAAUGAACAAAGUGGAAAAAGAGCCAAGCUGAGAAGAAACACCACACAGAAGAUUUUCCCUCAUUAAAAUGGAGAGGAGCAGUAACGACACUGGGAGACAAACAACAGGAUGAUCCAAAGACAACUGAGAGUGUUCAGAGCAGCGUGAACGGCAGUGACCUCAGAGCAAGACAGUCCUCGG